GUCUCUUUGUGCACCCGCCCACACGGUUUGCCGUGUUUUCACCCUUCUUUGUUCUCCACCGGUCUGGGCAGGGUCUGAGGACUCCGGAGAGCAAGGCAUGGGUCCGCCUCGUGCCGCAGGUAUCCUGGGGUCCUGUGGGGAGGGCUCUGCGGUGUGGGGCCGGGUAUGAUGACCCACAUUUACAGACUAGAGUUUCUGAUGUCCACGUGACGCCACUCCUUGUAACUGACCCAGGCCGGGGUGGGGGCUGCAGGCCGGGGUCUCUACGACCUGUGCUCAUUCAAUGAUCUCUUCCAGGUUCCUGGCCCACGCCAGCCGUACCCAGUAGCACAAUGGUAAGCGCAUGCUGGCGAGAGGUAGGCGGUGUGAGGAGGGGCUGGUUUCGGGGAGAGGACAGUAAUGAUGAUUUCUGGUGAUUCUGAGUGUCUCGCUGACGCCAUCACCGCAGCGCGCUGACCGUCCCCGGGUCCAAAAUCGGCAGUGGCGUGGGUUUUGAGUGGCCUAGAGUUCUGAGUAAUUUACCUCUGUGUCUUGCUUUCUGGUAGGGAUUUGAGGACACACGCCAGCUGCCUACACCUGAAGAAAGGGUGAGCUCUGAGGACUUCACAGGGGCCCCAUCCCCUCACCUAGAUGAGGGCUAACCUUGGAAUCCAGACAAAGGUGGAAGUGACCUAGAUGUGACCUGAAUGAGCUAAUCAUCUAAUGAGAGCCAGCCCUUUGUCCUGCCCACAUGAAGGUGGGUGGUUAGCUCACUUUUCAGGGUAAUAAAGCAGUAAAGGCGGGGUGGAGGGGUUGUUGAAGGCUUUGUAUGAUGUCACUAGGGCCUGUAAAGUUAGCACAAUGAACCCGCUGUGCAGAUUGUAAAGCUGACCUUGUUGGAAUAUCCUGGUUUUAGAAACACAUAAAUCAGCUUUGUGUUUGCUGUUCCCCUGCUGAAAAUGUUCUUCUGAAUUUUCAGGGCUUUGCUGCUACGCACUGACAAGUUGGACGGCUUUUUAUUGCUUUGUUGCCAGUUAUCUGAACAUGAGAGGCUGUAAGGUGUAAUCUGCGAGCCCUGCGCCCAGACUGAACCAGGGCCUCCCUUGAACAUGAGUAUUAGACAAAUGAAAUAAGAACUUAUCUUGCCCAGACUAUAUAAUGGCUUGGAAAUGCAUAGUUUCCUGAACGAUCUCAAUAAAAUACUUUUAAAAGUACUUAAA
rnacentral:lncRNA from 1 species